CGGGAUGUUCAUAACCCUUUGUUGUCCGACUCUGUUGCCUCCGGGGCGACCCUGCCUUCGGGCGGGGGCUCCGGGUGGACACUUCAAACUCUUGCGUAACUUUGCAGUCUGAGUAAACUUAAUUAAUAAAUUAAAACUUUUAACAACGGAUCUCUUGGUUCUGGCAUCGAUGAAGAACGCAGCGAAAUGCGAUAAGUAAUGUGAAUUGCAGAAUUCAGUGAAUCAUCGAAUCUUUGAACGCACAUUGCGCCCCCUGGUAUUCCGGGGGGCAUGCCUGUUCGAGCGUCAUUUCACCACUCAAGCCUCGCUUGGUAUUGGGCAACGCGGUCCGCCGCGUGCCUCAAAUCGACCGGCUGGGUCUUCUGUCCCCUAAGCGUUGUGGAAACUAUUCGCUAAAGGGUGUUCGGGAGGCUACGCCGUAAAACAACCCCAUUUCUAAGGUUGACCUCGGAUCAGGUAGGGAUACCCGCUGAACUUAAGCAUAUCAAUAAGCGGAGGAA
rnacentral:rRNA from 1 species